UCUGGUGACGGUGGUAUUUUGCUGCACCGGCGGCAUUCACUCUAUCUCUUGGGGGGCUAUCGCUCCGGUCACCCGGUCAUGUCUGUAUUCUAUCCUUCUCUCAUCUAUCAGAUCGAUUUUAUAGUGGUCUGUAAGCCUGUUAUCUCUAUAUUUUGUAACAUUGAACCAGCCUGGCUAGUUGCCAUGGUUGUUUAUCCAUGAUGUCAACUAUCAUACCAUAUAUUAUAGCCUACGUUCAUUCAUUCAUCCAUCCAUUCAUUUACUCAUUCAUCACCAUGUUCUACUCUCUCUCCUAGGUCACGAUUCCGGCUCUCUACCUACUGUCAUAAUCUAAGUUUUCAGCGCUCUCCUGACCAAGGUGCAUCUAUCAAUCAAAUCAUAACGCUCUGCUGUCUCUCUGCUCUCAGCGCAUCCGCGCCAUGUCUUCUCGCAUAGCCUAAGAUGGUGUAUCCUUGUAAGCGGUAGGUGAGUUCACUUCUAAUCUCUAUUUUGGGGCAGGCUACGCCCGCCUCCAUCUCCGCUGGAGGAUAUGCUGUCCUACCCCGGAGUUCAACGCGAAGACGGGAACCUUCGCCAAACAGAUUCAUGCAUUUUGUAUCAAGUGUAAUUGUUCGCCAAACGGAUUCAUGCAUUUUUGUAUCAUGUCUAUUGUUCAAUAAAUGUUAAUAACGUUCAUUUGCCUCUCGAGUCUUCAUGGUAGAAAUGGGAGCCUGCGUAAAUUCUACCAGGGAGACUCGAAUUUCUCGGCUGUCAAACCUACUAGGCUAACCAUCCAAUCUCCCUUUUGACAGAUCAUACAUGCGUCAUCAUUGCCCAGGAUCGUCAACCAAUCACAACGCGAGAUUGGGGAAUUCCCCGUUACGCAUCACUCAUGCAUCGUUCCCUCUCAGCCAAUGGAUCGCAUUCACGUUUGUUUAAAAAUCAGUCACUCAUUCUGUUCUCUGCUUUCCAGUUAAGCCGACUUUGAAGCCACCACCACCCCUCCGUCCACCGUCACCAGUGGUUCCCGUCUGUUAGGGGGCAGGCUACGCCCGCCUCCAUCUCCGCUGGAGGAUAUGCUGUCCUACCCCGGAGUUCAACGCGAAGACGGGAACCUUCGCCAAACAGAUUCAUGCAUUUUGUAUCAAGUGUAAUUGUUCGCCAAACGGAUUCAUGCAUUUUUGUAUCAUGUCUAUUGUUCAAUAAAUGUUAAUAACGUUCA